AUUGCUUCUGAGCCUAUUGGUAAAGAUCAAAUGUCGUAUGUGUUCUUAUCAGUUUAGUAUCUGAUGUGUCCUCUACUUGAUGACAAUUUGUUGAAUGGAUUUUUGGAGCUGGCUGAAGCACUAACUUUCUGUUUCCACUCCACGCAUCAACCUGGUACUGACGUUAUACCAGGAAUGGUGCAACAACA
ensembl:snRNA U2 U2 spliceosomal RNA